rnacentral:rRNA from 1 species
AUUGAACGCUGGCGGCAGGCCUAACACAUGCAAGUCGAGCGGAGCGGCGGACGGGUGAGUAAUGCCUAGGAAUCUGCCUGGUAGUGGGGAUAACGUCCGGAAACGGGCGCUUAUACCGCCUACUUAUCGAAGAGGCCAGGUUGGAUUAGCGAGUUGGUGGGGUAAAGGCCUACCAAGGCGACGGACCGUAACUGGUCUGAGAGGAUGAUCAGUCACACUGGAACUGAGACACGGUCCAGACUCCUACGGGAGGCAGCAGUGGGGAAUAUUGGACAAUGGGCGAAAGCCUGAUCCAGCCAUGCCGCGUGUGUGAAGAAGGUCUUCGGAUUGUAAAGCACUUUAAGUUGGGAGGCGUUACCAACAGAAUAAGCACCGGCUAACUUCGUGCCAGCAGCCGCGGUAAUAC